CAGUGGGAGAGAUGAGCUUGUGUCCACAGGUGCUGAACUGAAAGGAAAGCAGAACGUAGUAGAACUUCUUAACUAUGUUGAUUCUGAUCUUUAUAUUAUGUUUCCUUCAUCUGCCGUGGAAUGAGGGUGCCUCUAAUACCAACAGUGUGUUCCAAGCGCCUCCUUUCAUCAUUAAGAGAACUGGUGAAUCGGUUGCCAGUGAGAUCAACUGUUCACACAGCAUAACAGGCUAUGAUCGAAUUCUGUGGUACAAACAGGACGAGCAGAAAGCUCUAAAGCUCCUGGGAUAUCUGAAUCUGGGCACCCCAUACAUCGAGGACGACGUGAAAGGAAAAAUCAGCUUUGACGGAGAUGGUCGUACACAUUCCCGCCUCACUGUUUCUGGUCUGUCAUUAAAUGACAACGGUGUGUAUUUCUGUGCUGCCAGUCAGCACAGUGCUGCAAAUUCCCCUCACGUCAACACAAAAACUCUUAUCUGUCUGCAGAGAGACAGCAUGUUGAGUCUCUAG